AAAAGCAGAAAAAUAAAUAAUAGUAACGUGGUCCCGGGCAUCUACCAUUAUACCCACAAUGAUCGGUCAUACUAUUGCUAUCCAUAAUGGAAAGGAGCAUUUACCUAUUUAUAUAACAGAUCGUAUGGUGGGCCAUAAAUUGGGAGAAUUUGCACCUACUCUAAAUUUUCAGGGACAUGCAAAAAAUGAUAAUAAAUCUCGUCGUUAAUUCGUUAAUCUUAAUUUCUAAAUAAUUAAUAUUUAAAAUUAAUAAAAUGAAUAUUUCAUUUUAAAUUUAAAUAAAUAUUUAAAUAUUAAAUAAAAAAUAAAUAUUAAUAUUAUUAAAUAAAAAUAUUAAUAUUAUUAAAUAAAAAAAGAUUAAAAUUAAUAUUAAAUAAAAUUAAUAAAAUUAAUAUUAAAUAUAAAUAAAAAAAAAAGAAAAUUUCAAUUUAAUUGAAAAUUUUCUUUCAUUAUAAAAGUUUCAUUUAAAUUGAAAAGGAAAAUAUAGAUAUUUGAAUAAUGAAUAGUAUUUUGUAAUUUAGAUUUAGAGUAAUAGUAAUUUAGAAUUAAAGAUAUGUAUAUUUAUUAGUUUCAUUUUACAAUUUAAAUUUUUUUUCUGACUUUUCUCGUUCAUUAAAAUUAUUACUUUAUUUAUGACAUUAAAAAAAAAGAGGUUAAUAAAUCUUAUGAUAAAUAAAAGAAAGAAAAAGAGAGAUCCAUAUACGGAAGUAUAUGCUUUAGCCAACAUAUAUGUAUGUCCACUCACAAAGCACGAAGAAUAAUUUAUCAGAUUCGUGGAUGUUCUUAUGAAGAAACACUUAUGAUACUCGAGCUUAUGCCUUAUCGAGCAUGUUAUCCCAUUUUAAAAUUAAUUUAUUCUACAGCAGCAAACGCUCGCCACAAUAUGGGUUUCAACGAAGCCAAUUUAAUCAUUAGUAAAGCCGAAGUCAAUGAAGGUGCUACUGUGAAAAAAUUAAAACCUCAGGCUCGAGGGCGGGGUUAUCUGAUAAAAAGAUCGACCUGUCAUAUAACUAUUGUAUUAAAAAAUAUAUCUUUAUAUGAAGAAUAUGAAGAAUAUAACAUAUGCUUAAAAAACCGGGGGUGGAUAAAAAAAAUGAAAUCCACAUAUGCGACAUUUCAUGAUAUGUAUAGUAAGUAGUGGGGGAUUAUGGGACAAGAAAUAAAUCCACUUGGUUUCCGACUUGGUACAACCCAAAGUCAUUAUUCUCUUUGGUUUGCUCAACCAAAAAAUUACUCUGAGGGUCUACAAGAAGAUCAAAAAAUAAGAAACUGGAUUAAGAAUUAUAUAAAAAACAAUACAAAAAUAUCUUAUGGUGUUGAGGGAAUUGCAUGUAUAGAGAUUCAAAAAAGAAUUGAUGUGAUUCAAGUAAUAAUAUAUAUGGGAUUCACAAAAUUAUUAAUAGAAAGUAAACCUAAACGAAUCGAGAAAUUACAGAUAAAUGUACAAAAAGAACUAAAUUGUGUGAACCAAAAACUCAAUAUUGCUAUUACAAGAAUUUCAAACCCUUAUGGGCACCGUAAUAUUCUUGCAGAAUUUAUAGCCGGACAAUUAAAGAAUAGAGUUUCAUUUCGCAAAGCAAUGAAAAAAGCUAUUGAAUUAACUGAACAGGCGGAUACAAAAGGAAUUCAAGUACAAAUUGUGGGGCAUCUUGACGGAAAAGAAAUUGCACGCGUCGAGUGGAUUAGAGAGGGUAGGGUUCCUCUACAAACCAUUCGGGCUAAAAUUGAUUAUUGUUCAUAUACAGUUAGAACCAUUUAUGGGGUAUUAGGCAUAAAAAUUUGGACAUUUCUAGACAAAAAAUAAUAAACCCUUACUUGACUUGUCUUUACAUUCUAUCUAUUGAUAAAACAAAAAUGACAAACUCUUUGAUUCUUUUUUUUUUAUUAUUAAAAAAAAAAUCAAUUCGAAUUAUAUUUCUAUAGGGUUGAAUAAAAUAAAAAAUUUGAUUGAUAAUUUGAUAUAAUUGCUAUGCUUAGUGUGUGACUCGUUGGUUUUUUAGGUUCAGGAUUAAAAAAAGGGACUGACUCAUACUAUGAACUAAUAAGUAUAAAUAUACAACUAAUAACCAAAUACAACUAAUAACCAACUCAUCGCUUUGCAUUAUCUAGAUCCAAGGAAACAUUCAAGAUAUGAUAUAUUGCUCAUGUUUUUAUUUAUUAUUGGAGCAAUUAAAAUCCUUUUUGCACAAACAAAAUAAGAAACAAAAGAAAAACCAAUCUGAUUUGAUUAGGAGUUGUAAAUCAAAAUAAAAAUUAUGCGGAUAAAUGGAAGGGUGAAAGAAAGAGAGAAAAAAAUAUCAAUGAUCUAUGAUUCCGAUAUGUAAGGUCUAUGAAUUAUCAGAUAAAGGCUAAUGUACUAAAGCAUCAAUACCAAUUGAUCUAUAAUGAAACUAAUUCAUUCAUAAAACAAAAAAUCAAGAGCCUCGAGCCAAUAAAGACUGAGAAGAUUGACUCAAGAACAAAUCAAAUUAGAGGCUCCAUUGUAAAAUUAAGACCUAACCAUUAAUGGAGAAGCGAUGGGAACGACGGAACCUGUAAAUACAUAAGAUUUUAUUGAAAACAAAUCUUAAUGAUUUAUUGGGAGGAUAGCGAAAGGAACCAAAAGACAAUCCAUUUAUUCUGAAGGAUCGUGGAUUAGCUCUACAAAACAAAUAAAAUAAAUAUUGAAAGAGAAAAUAUUCGUCCGCGAAAUUUUUUAGAUUAUUGGAUUUCUAAAUUUUAGCGAUUUGAUAUCAUAAUUAUAAUAAAAUAUAUAUAUAUACCACUUUCUAUUUCUAUUCUAAUAAUCUAAUAAAAUAGAAAAUAAUCUAAUAAAUAGAUUAGAAAUAGAUUAGAUUAAGUAAAUAAAUUAAGUGAAAUCUCAAAGAAUCCCAUGAUUUAGUAUAUUAUUCAUCAAACACAUAUAUAUACAUUUCAUUCGCGAGGAGCUGGAUGAGAAGAAACUCUCAUGUCCGGUUCUGUAAUAGAGAUGGAAUUGAGAAACAACCAUCAACUAUAACCCAAAAAGAACCUGAUUCCGUAAACAACAUAGAGGAAGAAUGAAAGGAAUAGCUUUUCGAGGUAAUCGUAUUUGUUUCCGUAAACAACAUAGACGACGGGGUACGCAUAUUUCUCGACAAACCAGUUACUUUAAUACCUACAGAAACACGUAUGGGUUCGGGGAAAGGAUCUCUUGAAUAUUGGGUGGCUGUCGUUAAACCAGGUAUAAUACUUUAUGAAAUGAGUGGAGUACAGAAAAUAUAGCAAGAAGGGCUAUUUCAAUAGCAGCAUCAAAAAUGCCUAUUACGAACUCAAUUCAUUAUUUCGGUAUAGGAAUAUAGGACUAAAGGAAAAAGACUUUUGUUUUGGGGUGCUAAAAUAAAUCGAAAGUUUUUUUUUUUUUUUUUUUUGGAAAAACAAUAUAUCUUUUUUUCCUUUGCAUUAAAAUAACAGAUAAAAAAAAUGAUAUGAUCCAAUCUCAGACCCAUUUGAAUGUAGCAGAUAACAGCGGAGCCCGAGAUUUAAUGUGUAUUCGAAUCAUAGGAACUAGUAAUCACCGAUAUGCUCAUAUUGGUGACGUUAUUGUUGCUAUGAUCAAGGAAGUGGCACCAAAUUCACCUCUAGAAAGAUCAGAAGUAAUCAGAGCUGUAAUUGUACGUACUUGUAAAGAACUCAAACGUGAUAACGGUAUAUGAUAAUACGAUAUGAUGACAAUGCUGCAGUUGUCAUUGAUCAAGAAGGAAAUCCAAAGGGAACUCGAAUUUUUGGUGCAAUCGCCCGAGAAUUGAGACAAUUAAAUUUUACUAAAAUAGUUUCAUUAGCGCCUGAAGUAUUAUAAAAUAAAAAAUUCUAAAUAAAAUAGAAGAUAAUACCAUUUACAAUUAAGAUGAGACCAUGAUACAUUUCUAGUAUAUAGUUAUAGUAUUUGAAUAAAAAUGAAAUAGAAUUUCAUUGGUAAAUUGUGUUUCAUGCAUAUACCUUUAAUAAAAUAAGUAAUUCAAAAAAAAAAAGAAAAAAGGUAUGUUGAUAUAUCAAAAUUAGAGAGAAAUCAAAAAUUUAGUUUAUCAUGGGCAGGGAUCCUAUUGCUGAGAUAAUAACCUCUAUACGAAAUGUUGACAUGAAUAGAAAAGGAACCGUUCGAAUAGCUGUAACGCCUGCAUUUUCUCAUCAUACAUGUUAUGUGCAUUUACAUUUAAUCAUUGGGCAUAUGAUGAUAUAUUAAUAAUAUUUUUAUUUUAUAGGAACAGAUAUAUAUUAAUUAUAAGUAGAGAAUAAGAAGCAUGAUAUCAGAUUAUUAAUUUAAAUAAGUUGAUUAAGUAUUUGGGUUAUGUGUAUUAAGCCUUAAGACUUAAUUAAACCAAUAGCUGAAGGUUGGGUAAAUAGAUUGGACUUAAAAGAUACAAUUAAAAGUUAGUACCUAUAUAUGGUUAGUAAGAAUUAAUUUAGGAUGAUAAAACUAGUUAAGUAGGUGGUGGCAUUGAGAGAUGAAUCUUGGAAAUUGGAACCAUGAGCAAGCUCAUUUUACCUCUUCAUUUCUCUAAAAUUCGUACAUGGCCAAAAACUCAAAAUUUGAAACAAGAGAGAGGAGUGGAAUACCUAGAAAAACUUAAGAUUAAGAUAGGAUUUUACCAACUAUUGAAGGAGUCAAGCUAAAGCUAAAGGAUUUAAGCAUAUUAGCAACCCAAAAGCUGAAAUUGGUGAGUUGUUACUUGAGUAUUAUUAAUUUGUCAUUAGGGUUCUUGAUUAUAAAUUGGAAAAACUUCAACUGAUGCUUUCAUUGAUUAAUUAAAGGUCUGAUUAUCAUGAAUUAGUAGAGUAUUGAAUGAUUGCAUAGAGAUUAAGCUUGAUUUAAGUUUAAGUAUGUCAAGAUAGAAAACUGUCAAAAUUCCAGCAACCUUGAUGUUCUGUAUUUUAGGCAUAACAUGGGUUAUAUAAGUCCAAAUUAAGCUUAAUUGGUGUCUAUGGAAAUUUUGAAGAGUCCUCUAUAACUUUGUAGUUUUGUGAUUUAGCUAUGUUUGCCGUUUUAGUUACUUAAAUUGAGCAAACAGAUUGCUGCUCGGGUACAACUAGCUGUAUGACCCUUGCUCAGUAAUUUGAGAAUAAUUAAAUCUAUAGAAGUCGGAAUUGAGUAAUUCUUCUUGGAGAUGAAACUAGACGCAUAAGUGUAUAUGUUUAUUUAAUACGAGAUUUUUGUAUUAAGCCAAUUUUUUCCAGCAAUAAAUAUACUUUGGUACUAAAUUCUGUCUAGAAAACAUAGAUGUUGGAGAUUAGUUUUAUGCAAUUUAUUUGAUGUUAAUUUGAGUUAAAUUGGUAUAUAACUAGAUGGAAAAUGUUUAUAUGAUAUUAAAAUAGUAAUUGAGAGUCUUAGAGGAAGAGUUAGACCUAUGAAUUACAAAGGGGAUGAUCUUGUAAUGCAUUAGAACUAGCAUUUACAUGAAUAUUUGGAAUAUGCAUGAAAUGUGAAUUGAUGAAUGUGUUAACAGGUACUCAAAGGCCUGGAAAGGAAGUUGUGGAGAAAGGAGGUUCUUAUAUGCUGAAGGAAUAAGUGUAUUUUGAGUAAGUAAAUAGUUAAUAUUUGCUAUAUCCAUAUAUUUAAUCAAAUGUUCUACGAAUGGUUGUGUUUGCUUAAUAUUGUGUUGUGUUUGAAUGAAUGAGAUGGAAAUGAUUGGUGUUGAGUGGAACAAUUGUUAUUGCUUGAAUAUGAUAUAAGUGAAAUGAUUGAAUUGUGAUGUUAAGUGCAUAUGUGCAUGUGAAUGGUGGAUUCCCCUGUGAAAAUAUAUAUAUAUAAAGGCUUGGGAGGUUAAAGCCUAGAGAGGCUAUAAAAGUGUAUUAUGUGAGGAUGAGGCGGAGCAGCUUACGUGUGCAAUAGGUGAGGAUGAGGCGGAGCAGCACAUUAAAAGGGAUCCACAAGCCGUGAGAACUAACCAUAAUUGUUGAAUUGUAUUUCUUCUAUGAUGGUUGUACUGAAUUGAGUAGAAUGGUAUGAAUUUAUACCUAAACUAUGAAUCAUGGUAAGUUAUAUGAUUGGGUGGAAAUUGUAUUAAGUGUAUGUGAUAUAGAUUAUGUUGAUUAUUUAUUUACUGAGAUGGAGGCUCACCCCUCUCCAAAAUUUUUCUUUUCAGGUUUGUAAAUAGUAGUGCAUCCGUUGGUUGUAUGCGAAGUCUAGCUUUUAGCAGCUCUGUCAGGUUGGGCCAGUUUUGUGGAGUCGCCUCCUAAUGCAUUUUGUAUGCAGUUAUGUGAUGUAUAUAAAAGUGUGCCUUGUAAGGCAUAAGAAGAUGUUUUGAACACUUGUUAAAUGAUGUUUAAGUAUAAUCAUAUGUUUAUAUGUUAAUAACCUUGUGUCUUGAUUCUUAACAAUCUUCAUAUUGACCUAUCUACAUGUAGUAUAUAGUCUACGACGCUUGUAUGUUUUCUGGCUAAUGUCUAUAAGUAGCAUGUAAUGGGGGUGUUACAAUAGCAUUCACUAACAUCACCGAAAAUAUUAUUAAAAUACUUUUAUGAGAAGGUUUUAUUGAAAAUGUCAGAAAACACCAGGCUGGCAACAAAAUUUUUUUGGUUUUAACCCUACGAUAUAGAAGGAAGAGGAAAGGACCUUGUAGAACUAGUCUAAAUUUAAAACGGAUUAGCUGACCUGGUCUACGAAUCUAUUCUAACUAUCAAAAAAUUCCUAGAAUUUUAGGCGGGAUGGGUAUUGUAAUUCUUUCUACUUCUCGGGGUAUAAUGACCGACCGAGAAGCUCGACUAGAAAGAAUCGGUGGAGAAAUCUUGUGUUAUAUAUGGUAAUCUUUCGAAUAUCCGAAUUGUAUCCCAACUUCUUAUUUGUGAAAAAAGAAAAGAUAAAGAAGAGGUUUCUAAUAUCAUUCCUAUUACAUUAAUUGAUACUUGAAGGGGAUUUUAGAUGGAAUGAAAGAACAAAAAAUGGAUUCAAUUUGGGAAGGUUAAAUUUCUGAAUCACUUUUUCAAUAGUAUGUUCCAAGUUCCUUUAGAUAAUGAAGAUCUGGUUUUAGGUUAUGCUUCAGGAAGGAUCCAACAUAGUUUUUUUAUACCUAUACUGCUCAGAAAUAGUGUUAAGUAUUUAGAAUUUGACCAGAGCAGUUCUAAUUUAUAGACUCCGUAACAAACAAAGAUUUGAAUGAUUAGUCAGUUUUUUUUUCAACUUAAAAAGUCCUUUCACUUUCAUCACUUUCAAGGGAUACAAUUCGCGAUUUCAAAGUUUAAAAAAA
rnacentral:lncRNA from 1 species